rfam:Pteropus alecto contig35425, whole genome shotgun sequence.
UACUGGGGUUCAGCACCCAUCAAAAAGGAGGAGCCAUUUGAUCCCGUCUGAUCUCGGAAGCUAAGCAGGGUCGGGCCUGGUUAGUACUUGGAUGGGAGACCACCUAGGAAGACCAGGUGCUGUAGGCA